rnacentral:rRNA from 1 species
UACGUAGGUGGCAAGCGUUGUCCGGAUUUACUGGGCGUAAAGAGCGCGCAGGCGGUCGUUCAAGUCGCGUGUGAAAGCCCCCGGCUCAACUGGGGAGGGUCACGCGAUACUGAUCGACUCGAAGGCAGGAGAGGGUAGUGGAAUUCCCGGUGUAGUGGUGAAAUGCGUAGAUAUCGGGAGGAACACCGGUGGCGAAGGCGGCAUCCUGGACCAACACUGACGCUGAGACGCGAAAGCGUGGGGAGCAAACAGG